rnacentral:misc_RNA from 1 species
AAGUCGUAACAAGGUUUCCGUAGGUGAACCUGCGGAAGGAUCAUUCAAAGUUCUUUUAGGGGGGUUUCUAUUAUUGAUUGUCAUGUGCAAGUAAUGAUAUAGAUCCAUCUAAAUAUCAUCAAAUGUGUUGAAGGAAGUUAUUACCAACAUAAAUGCAAAAAUAGAUAAAUAAACAUCACACAACUGUUAACAACGGAUCACUCGGUUCUC